rnacentral:rRNA from 1 species
UACGUAGGGUGCAAGCGUUGUCCGGAAUUAUUGGGCGUAAAGAGCUCGUAGGCGGUUUGUCGCGUCUGCUGUGAAAACCCGAGGCUCAACCUCGGACUUGCAGUGGGUACGGGCAGACUAGAGUGUGGUAGGGGAGAGUGGAAUUCCUGGUGUAGCGGUGGAAUGCGCAGAUAUCAGGAGGAACACCGAUGGCGAAGGCAGGUCUCUGGGCCAUAACUGACGCUGAGGAGCGAAAGCGUGGGGAGCGAACAGG